UACGUAGGGGGCAAGCGUUGUCCGGAAUCAUUGGGCGUAAAGAGCGUGUAGGCGGCCCGGUAAGUCCGCUGUGAAAGUCGGGGGCUCAACCCUCGAAUGCCGGUGGAUACUGUCGGGCUAGAGUGCGGAAGAGGCGAGUGGAAGUUCCUGGUGUAGCGGUGAAAGUGACGCAGAUAUCAGGAGGAACACCGAUUGCGAAGGCAGCUCGCUGGGACGUAACUGACGCUGAGACGCGAAAGCGUGGGGAGCAAACAGG
rnacentral:rRNA from 1 species